rnacentral:rRNA from 1 species
AUUGAACGCUGGCGGCAGGCCUAACACAUGCAAGUCGAGCGAGUGGCGGACGGGUGAGUAAUGUAUGGGCAACUGCCUGAUGGAGGGGGCUAACUACUGGAAACGGUGGCUAAUACCGCCUACUAUCGGAUGUGCCCAGAUGGGAUUAGCUAGUUGGUGGGGUAAAGGCUCACCAAGGCGACGAUCCCUAGCUGGUCUGAGAGGAUGACCAGCCACACUGGAAAUGAGAAACGGUCCAGACUCCUACGGGAGGCAGCAGUGGGGAAUAUUGCACAAUGGGCGCAAGCCUGAUGCAGCCAUGCAGCGUGUAUGAAGAAGGCCUUCGGGUUGUAAAGUACUGUCAGCGGGGAGGCGUUACCCGCAGAAGAAGCACCGGCUAACUCCGUGCCAGCAGCCGCGGUAAUUC